GAUGAACGUUGGCGGCGUGCCUAAUACAUGCAAGUCGAACGGAGAUUGUAGCAAUACGGUCUCAGUGGCGAACGGGUGAGUAACGCGUUGGUGACCUGCCCCGAAGUGUGGAAUAACAGAUCGAAAGAGCUGCUAAUACCGCAUAAUAUCCAGAGGACUAGAUGCCUUUGGAUUAAAGGAUUUAUUCGCUUCGGGAGGGGCCUGCGUCCCAUCAGCUAGUUGGUAAGGUAAAGGCUUACCAAGGCUAUGACGGGUAGGGGACCUGAGAGGGUGGCCCCCCACAAUGGAACUGAAACACGGUCCAUACACCUACGGGUGGCAGCAGUAGGGAAUAUUAGAAAUGGACGAAAGUCUGAUCUAGCAACACCGCGUGUGCGAAGAAGGCCUUCGGGUUGUAAAGCACUUUUGGAAGGAUUAGGAAGGAAUGUACUUCCAGAAUAAGUCUCGGCUAACGUACGUGCCAGCAGCCGGGUAAUACGUAGCGUG
rnacentral:rRNA from 1 species